rnacentral:rRNA from 1 species
AAGCAGUCGCCACGGUAAUACGAAGGGUGCAAGCGUUAAUCGGAAUUACUGGGCGUAAAGCGUACGCAGGCGGUUUGUUAAGUCAGAUGUGAAAUCCCCGAGCUUAACUCGGGAACUGCAUUUGAAACUGGCAGGCUAGAGUCUCGUAGAGGGGGGUAGAGGAUAGUGGAAUUUCCGGUGUAGCAGUGAAAUGCGUAGAGAUCGGAAGGAACAUCUGUGGCGAAGGCGACUAUCUGGGCCAACACUGACACUGAGACACGAAAGCGUGGGGAGCAAACAGGAUUAGAUACCCGUGUAGUCCCUU